AUUGAACGCUGGCGGCAGGCCUAACACAUGCAAGUCGAACGAGUGGCGGACGGGUGAGUAAUGUCUGGGAAACUGCCUGAUGGAGGGGGAUAACUACCGGAAACGGUAGCUAAUACCGCAUACCAUCGGAUGUGCCCAGAUGGGAUUAGCUUGUUGGUGGGGUAACGGCUCACCAAGGCGACGAUCCCUAGCUGGUCUGAGAGGAUGACCAGCCACCCUGGAACUGGGACACGGUCCCGACACCUACGUGAGGCAGCAGUGGGUAAUAUUGCACAAUGGGCGCAAGCCUGAUGCAGCCAUGCCGCGUGUAUGAAGAGGGCCGUCGGGUUGUAAAGUACUUUCAGCGGGGAGGCGUUACCCGCAGAAGAAGCACCGGCUAACUCCGUGCCAGCAGCCGCGGUAAUUC
rnacentral:rRNA from 1 species